rnacentral:rRNA from 1 species
UACGGGGGGGGCAAGCGUUGUUCGGAAUUACUGGGCGUAAAGCGCGUGUAGGCGGCAGCGCAAGUCGGGCGUGAAAUCCCACGGCUCAACCGUGGAAGUGCACUCGAAACUGCGCAGCUAGAGUCCUGGAGAGGAAGGUGGAAUGCUUGGUGUAGAGGUGAAAUUCGUAGAUAUCAAGCGGAACACCGGUGGCGAAGGCGACCUUCUGGACAGUGACUGACGCUGAGACGCGAAAGCGUGGGGAGCAAACAGG